UCAGUUGGCUAGCUCCACAAGUGUUUUCUUGUCCCUUCCAAUCUCCCUGAUCGAGUUAUAGUAGCCAAAGCCAAGCAUGGUAUGCUGCUUCUUUAAAACUAGUAACAACAGUAAAACCUAUGGCAAUCAAAAGCAACUGCACCAUCAUGCAUGUGAAUGAACACGAGUGACUUGAGUUUGCAUUAAAACCUGCACAUGCUCAUUGUAGAACAAAGGAAACAAACAAAGAAGCUUCUUAAAACAGCACAUUGUCAUAUUCAACUAGAUAAUUGAUGUGUUUAGACGAUGGGAACCUGUUUGAUGCCCCAUCAGCAAUCAAACAAACACACCAACCGAAAAAAAGAAAAAAAUGACAAUAGGUAAAAACAUCAUCUAACAUUAGUCCACCUCAUAAGUAGUAAGAAAUUGAAAAAUUGAUUCUUUGCUCGUCAUUAACACAAAAGAUGUAGCUGAAAAAAAAAUAAUCCCACAGCAAUACUCACCCCUAUUAUCAUGGCCAUCAAAAUGCUCUCUCCAACCGGGCAAAUGCUUUCUAGCAUUUUUCUUCCAGGCUUGUUCAAAUUGAGGCUACUCAUCUAGAUAGUCAUGACAUUA
rnacentral:lncRNA from 1 species